AAAGGAGGGCAGCUACCUUGCAGUCGUACAAGGUAACCACAGAUCGGCCUGGCGGCGAGUGGCGAACGGGUGAGUAAUACAUCGGAACGUGCCCUGUUGUGGGGGAUAACUAGUCGAAAGAUUAGCUAAUACCGCAUACGACCUGAGGGUGAAAGCGGGGGACCGCAAGGCCUCGCGCAGCAGGAGCGGCCGAUGUCUGAUUAGCUAGUUGGUGGGGUAACGGCCUACCAAGGCGACGAUCAGUAGCUGGUCUGAGAGGACGAUCAGCCACACUGGGACUGAGACACGGCCCAGACUCCUACGGGAGGCAGCAGUGGGGAAUUUUGGACAAUGGGGGCAACCCUGAUCCAGCAAUGCCGCGUGUGUGAAGAAGGCCUUCGGGUUGUAAAGCACUUUUGUCCGGAAAGAAAUCGCGCUGGCUAAUAUCCGGCGUGGAUGACGGUACCGGAAGAAUAAGCACCGGCUAACUACGUGCCAGCAGCCGCGGUAAUACGUAGGGUGCGAGCGUUAAUCGGAAUUACUGGGCGUAAAGCGUGCGCAGGCGGUUUUGUAAGACAGGCGUGAAAUCCCCGAGCUCAACUUGGGAAUUGCGCUUGUGACUGCAAGGCUAGAGUGUGUCAGAGGGGGGUAGAAUUCCACGUGUAGCAGUGAAAUGCGUAGAGAUGUGGAGGAAUACCGAUGGCGAAGGCAGCCCCCUGGGACGCCACUGACGCUCAUGCACGAAAGCGUGGGGAGCAGACAGGAUUAGAUACCCUGGUAGUCCACGCCCUAAACGAUGUCAACUAGUUGUUGGGGAUUCAUUUCUUCAGUAACGUAGCUAACGCGUGAAGUUGACCGCCUGGGGAGUACGGUCGCAAGAUUAAAACUCACAGGGAAUUGACGGGGACCCGCACAAGCGGUGGAUGAUGUGGAUUAAUUCGAUGCAACGCGAAAAAACCUUACCUACCCUUGACAUGCCACUAACGAAGCAGAGAUGCAUCAGGUGCCCGAAAAGGGAAAAGUGGAACCCAGGUGCUGCAUGGCUGUCGUCAGCCUCGGGUCUGGAGAUGUUGGGGUUAAUUCCCCGCAACGAAGGGCAAACCCUUG
rnacentral:rRNA from 1 species